GACGAACGCUGGCGGCGUGCUUAACACAUGCAAGUCGAACGAUGAUGCCCAGCUUGCUGGGUGGAUUAGUGGCGAACGGGUGAGUAACACGUGAGUAACCUGCCCCUGACUCUGGGAUAAGCGUUGGAAACGACGUCUAAUACUGGAUACGAUCGCCGGCCGCAUGGUCUGGUGGGGGAAUGAUUUUUUGGUUGGGGAUGGACUCGCGGCCUAUCAGCUUGUUGGUGAGGUAAUGGCUCACCAAGGCGACGACGGGUAGCCGGCCUGAGAGGGUGACCGGCCACACUGGGACUGAGACACGGCCCAGACGCCUACGGGAGGCAGCAGUGGGGAAUAUUGCACAAUGGGCGAAAGCCUGAUGCAGCAACGCCGCGUGAGGGAUGACGGCCUUCGGGUUGUAAACCUCUUUUAGUAGGGAAGAAGCGAAAGUGACGGUACCUGCAGAAAAAGCACCGGCUAACUACGUGCCAGCCGCCGCCGUAA
rnacentral:rRNA from 1 species